UUGCUGAAGUCCAGGACAAUGAGGUCUUCCUUCAAUGAGGUUAAUGAAAGCUGGAGUACAUUAAACUCGUCAGGUAUGUACCGUUGCUGUGCCGUUCUCGCAGCUGCAAUCUCGUUGCCGCUAAUCAACUGCAGGUAUAAGGCCCUCGAGGCUGGAGUGGAGGCGAGGUGUUGUGUUGGAUCGUGUGCUGGGCUGGGCGAAGAGGAGUGUUGGAUUGUGUUGGCGUCCUCCUUCCGUGUCAAAGCUCAGGUUAUACGGUCUUGGCCCCAGUUGGACUCCAGUGAGCCCGACCAACCAGUGAGAGACUGUUUGUUGUUCGCAAGUUAUUAAUCUUGUCUCUUUUGUUAUUUUACAGAUGCCCGUCAUAACCUUUGUUGUGAUUAUUAAAGUCCCUUAUUUAUUUAUUUUGCCUAUGGGUUGUUUUAGUUGUCCCCUAAUCAUCCAGUGGAGAUCGUUUUCCGUUUUGGCUGUCUGAUUAUAAUACAUUUCUGUUAAAACCUAAA